GUCUAAUCAAGAGCACUACUGACGAGUUCAGCCAAGGACAGCUGGAAACCAUUCAGGAGGUGUUAGAGUUUGUACCUCUCCAUCAUCCUUGGCUUUCCUCUUUCUGGCUCGAGCCCUGGGUGCCUUGUUGUUCUUGCGUGGAGGUGAUGCUGCGGGUGACUCCACAGCUCUGAAGUUGAAGAGCUACUGUCACGGUCCAGCUCUAAAGGUGAGGAUUUGUUCUCGCAAAAACCCAAAUCGUGAGGCUGACAUGUGUGCUGGCUGCGCUGGCUGCGGGCAGACCGCCACACCUCUGGGGAACUGUCAGACUGAUCAUCUGGAGAGGGCCUGUCAGUGGGUUGCGCUGGGCGAGAUGGUGAAGACAGUUCACCGUGCGGGAUGCCAGAGCUGCACUGAUGCUCAGCAGAAUCCUCACUCUCCUGUAUGGGUGUGAGGGCACGCCUGGUAGAGAGGACAGACACGGUGACAUCAGAGACUCUCCUACUGAUGUGUCUGAACCCUACCUAGGUGUUUAUGGUUAAGAAUGUUGAGUCCUUCAUUUCAUGUUAAUUCAUCUAUUGCCACAUUGGCUAGGUAAGAGACUCUGAGUGAUCUUAGCAUGCUAUGCGGUUAAAGAGUUGUAGAACUGCUGUUCUAAGUGAGAAUCUUGUGAUUUUAUCCCUCCCUUUUGUGUCCAAUGCUGAUGUGGGGAAUGUUACCCUGUUUGUGUGUUAUUGUCAUUUUAAUGCCUUAGUUUAGCCCUGCUUCUGUUAGCCUUAUCUGUCCAUAGUGUCUCUCACUGCAAAAUAAGAAAUGCCUUUCGGUGUCAAUUUAUGUUAUAGCUGUAUUAAAAUCAAUAAAUGCAUGUCCUGGUGCUGUGCGAUGAAUGAGGCACAGGACUUGAUUCACAUUGAAAAUGUCUGUCUUGCUUCGCAUUCUUCCACACUGGCUCGCCACA
ensembl:lncRNA